GGGGAGCACGCAUACAAUUUUACUAGUUGGUGUGACCCCCCAGGGGGAAAACACCGACACAUUUAUUGCAUAGUCAAACCACGGAUCCAAAGAAACAAGUCAAUAAGUCAAAUCAAGAUGUGCAUGUGUGGCGAAUGAAUGGUGUAUGGUGGUGACGGUGAUAACAAUGGUGAAAGUCUAAUUCUACUUUUGCUCUUUUGAGGGGAUACAUACCUUUCUUGCUCUUUUGAAAUUUAAGGAAAAUGAUAUGCUCUAUAUUUUCUUUUUCUUUCCUCUCAGGUGGGCAUCUUGUACCCCUAAUUCUACUGUCGGACACUUGUCCAUUUUUACCUCUCGUCUCACUUUUUUUUCUUUCAAGGUUCUGGGCACUUGCCCCUUUUUAUUUCCUCGUAUCUUUUUUUAGAGCACUCAUCUCUUGAGAUAAUAUAGCAAGUGGUAGUAACCAAGAUAACUUGAGCAUUUAUUUUAUAGGGGAAAAUAGAAAUGUUUUUGGUUAUUCUCUCCCGGAUUAGGAGUAGAAUAUUUUUGGGUGGUUCUGGAAAUGGGAAUGAGUGGAUAUAUGUGGAUGCGUACUUCCAGAGUAGAAGCAGCAUGUAUGAGUGAAUGUGCAAGUGAAUCCUGAUUUAACCACAUGACAAGUUCCUAAGGGUCUACACAGCUUGACCACACUCAAUGCACAUAAGCAGUAAAAAGUAAAUGUGUGGCUCAAAGUCUAGCAAGCAUACAUAUAUGGUUGUGGUAGGAAUUUAAACUCUCAUCAUACAGGAACUCAUCAUGUGUUAAAGAUUUUCAAAGAUAAAAUUCUCCAGAAUUCUACCAUCUCUAGGAACAGAUAAACAUCAGCUCAACCUUCCCAUAUCAUAUUCGUUAACAACUUAGACUUAAGAUCAAGUUUUCUUCCCACAAGUUCAGGUUUAGAGCAAGCUUUAAAUUAUAACAGUUAUGUCUAAACUAGAGAGAGAACUCAAGUUUGAAAAUUAGGCAGAGCUACUAUUCAUCAUAUCCGUGCUAGAGUUUUAUUUAGAUUCAGUUUAGCAUAGCCACUUUAUUUAUUUAUUAAGCACAAUAAGCAAAAGAUAUAUAUAUAUAUAAGCACAAAAUCUUUAUUUGGUUUUUCAUAGUUAUAUAUAUAUUUAUAUUUUAAUAUAGUAUAAGUAUAAAGAUAGAUAGAAAUACUUAGCAGGAUAAAUAGGGGUGCUCUCCCUCAAACUGAAUUUUGACGUAAUUUCUUCUGAUGUAGCUAGCAGGUGGCACAGGUGUAUUUGAAAGUCGGCAGUAUCGUGACAGCGAUUAGAAUGUCCUCCGUCUGCUAGUCUUCUUGAUUCUUAAAUUCUGUGGAGCUCAAAUAGACAACAAAGCUUGUGGAACUGAUUAGGUGUUAGCAUAAAUAUCUAGCCUUUAUCGUGUUGAGCUUCCUCAAUUAAUGUUACUCUCUAUUUUUAUAUUUUCGUUUUAUAAAGCAGAAAAAUAUUUAUUUUAUUUUUAUGCCACCACAGUGAAUGUACUUAUGGGUUUUAUGCCACUCGUAUACUCACAUAGGGCUUACUAUUUUUUUAACAUUUUUAUUUUCUUUUUAGGAUAGUAUGAACAUGAUUAACUACGUAAACCAUUUUAAAUAUUUGAAAGGGAAAGGAUAACUACCAAGUUUACAUCUUGGCAAGGCGUUCGGUGUUUUUAAGUCCUCCGAACAGGACUCUCCCUUUUCUCAGUUGUCUUGGGAUUCGUUGAGUGGCGUAGUCGGUGCUUCCGGCGGCGCCUCUUCUUCGUGUAUAGCCUCUUCUUCGUGUAUAGUUAUCUUCUCUCUCCACACCUGACUCGUUGCUACAGUCUCCUCAGGAUAAUUCUGUUCAAGCUGUAUGUCCUCAGAUCUUAUCACUUCUCCUUCGUAGUCUGCCCAUCCGUCUUUGAUGAUUUGCCUCUUCUAAUUGCGGUUGCGUCGUAUUCUUCUUGUCCUGACCUGCUUAGAGUCUUCAACUAUAUAGUUAGGGUCAGUAAAAUAGCGGCAUACCUUCUCUGAGGGUAAGUGCAUAUAGACUUCUCCAGUUCCAAUGUAGAUGAUUGCUUUAACGGUGCUGAGGAACGGUCUUCCAAGGAUGACGAGUGGAUCAUAUUCGUCUUAUCCCAUGUCAAUAACCUGAAAGUCUGUGUAGACAAAAUGAUCAUCUAUUUUGACAGGGACAUCAGUUAUUAUACCAUUAACCUUUCGAAAUGUCUGAUGUGCCAUCUGGAGCUGAAUGUAUGUUGGUUUUAGGGGCAUGGUUCCGAACAAGAGCCGAUAGGUGACUGCGGCCAUUAUGUUGACGCCUGAUCCGGUGUCGCAAAACGUCUUGUAGAAGUUGUAUCCAUUUAUGGAGCAAUAGAUGCUUAGAAUUCCUGGGUCGUCCUUCUUGGUUAGAAACGGUGACUUAAGUUGAUGAUCUUGACCUUCAUGAAAUGCAGUGACCAUCUUAGCUGACUCGGUCCACACUUGCUUGUUCCUGUUCCUCCUGUUGGUCCUCUUCCUUGGUUCAUGUCGAGAUUGCUGUGGGAUUUGUGUAGUCUUGUUCUUGAAGGAAAAUGUCUCCUUCCUCCCUAUGAUGUAGAAACUGAUCUUGGCAGCGCUAGCGUAGAUGACAGCUCCCGAGGUGUUUAAGAAUGCCCUCCCUAAGAUGAUGGGUGCCCUCUCAUCAUUACCUAUCUCUAUCACCACGAAGUCUGCUGGGACGUACAAGGUACCAACUCGGACACAGAGGUUCUUCAAUAUUCCCUUUGGGAAACUUAACGCCUG
rnacentral:lncRNA from 1 species